UCGAGAAUAAUUCACAAUGGACGAAAGUCUGAUGGUGCAACGCCGCGUGGAGGAUGACGGUCUUCGGAUUGUAAACUCCUGUCAUCCGGGAGUAAGACCUGGCUGUGAAUAGCAGACAGGGUUGAUAGUACCGGAAGAGAAAGGGACGGCUAACUUCGUGCCAGCAGCCGCGGUAAUACGAAGGUCCCGAGCGUUGUUCGGAAUCACGUGGCGUAAAGGGAGCGUAGGCGUAGUGGUAAGUCAGAUGUGUAAUCCCGGGGCUCAACCCCGGAACUACAUCCGAUACUGCCGGGCUAGAGGAUUGGAGAGGUAGCUGGAAUUCUUUGUGUAGCAGUGAAAUGAGUGGAGAUCAAGAGGAACACUCGUGGCGAAAGCGAGCUACUGGACAAUAUCUGACGCUGAGGCUCGAAGGCCAGGGUAGCGAAAGGGAUU
rnacentral:rRNA from 1 species